CUUUUUGGAUUUUUUGCGCGGAGAGAGAAGAGUGCAGCGGAGGAGGGAGAGAAACGGAGAGUUUGUUUCCGCCGUGCCCAGAAUAGCCCAAUAGAAAUCGGAGAAGCUGAUCCAGGAAUUGUAUUUGCCUAAUCUACAUCAGUGUAACUUUGGGUUAGGAUAACAGAGCGAAGAGGAAUACCAGGAGCUUAGUUCGUAGAAGAUGUGCAGUCCUUCCAACCUUCCACGUGUAGUGAUCGAUUACCAUACACACCUAUCGGCUUGAUGUCCCUUGUUUUUUUUGUCAUUAGUUCUGCACAUACCUGGGAUUUGAUCGAGUGAAGUAACAGAGGACGGACUGUAUUGUGGCCACUGAGCUUGCGAAGCCCCUCACUGCUUACUGCAUGCAAUGACAGAAACGAGUUUGGAGUAGAAUCUCAGCCAAAAGAGGCUGCGGAAAGUGUGAGCUCCAUGUUGUGACAAAGCUAAUGUCAAAAAAGGACAGUGGUCUCCUGAGGAUGAUAAAGCUAAGUCUUGGGACUCAUGGAACUGGUGGCAAUUGGAUUCAUCUGCCACAAAAAGCUGGCUUUUAGAUUCUUCAACAAGAAUCAAGUUGACCACAUUAAGAACACGUGAUUUUCUAAUAAAGAAGCCAAGCUGCCGAAAUUGCAGAAAGUCACCCCUCAAUUUGGAACUUUGUUUCUUCCAUGACUUGGCAUCUGAGUAAUCGACUCUAAUACUUUGAAGGUUAAGCAAUAUCAGUAUACCAAAGAUACAAAACGAAUUGCUUCUAAAAACUCAUGGUUCUCUUACGAAUCUGGUCUGGGAAUGGCUUCCUGUGAUUUUGAUCAUUGAUUUAUUUGUAUUAUCCUCCAACACUGUGGCACUCAAAGUGAUAACUCGAUCAGCUAUGAGUAGAUGUAUAGCAGCCUCCUUCAGUACUCAUGUUGUAAAGUUUUUAGUCACACAAAGGUGCUGAACUUGGGAACUUUGAGAUCUUUUCUCACAUGUUGUUUGUUAUAGGAGAGAUCUUCUAUCAUUGUUGUGUCUGAAAUCUCUUUCUUUGAGAAAUGCAGCACUUUUGAAAAUUGUUUUUGUUAUUUCCUGCAAAGGAAGAGGCAGUGACAGAUUAUUAAUAUGAAUGUUGUAAAAUAUGUUGCAGUAAACAUGUAAAAUGUUUGUCAUUAAUGAAAUCGAUAUCUGAUAGCUUUUAGUUCUCCUUACAAUUUUAUAUCGCUUCAUAUUUUUGGUAGUCUCUGUAUAUACUAUAUAGAAAUUUCUCCUAAAAAACAUCGGUUUUCUUUUCUUUUCCUUAAUUUCUUACCAAUCUCAAAGUAGAUAUCUAUUUGUUUUCUAUAAAGUUCAGAAAUAUAGAAGUGAUCAUACUGGUAUGUGUUUUUGAUAAUGGCAUAUGUUUUUGAUUCAUGAACUGGUUUUCAGUAUACUGUAAUGAUGAAUUUUUAAGUUUUUUUUGACUGGAGAUGUUAAAGUUAGUUCCUUUAUACACCACAAAAUUCUAUUUAUGCUCAAAUUGGGUCUACUGCAUUUGAAUCACCGUGAGUAUAUCUCAUGCAACCAAGUAAAGCGGAAUAAUACGUCUCAAUUAGCGGAACCUGCACUUCUACACUGCAAUUAGUUGAUAAAAUACCAACAAAUCAAGUUGAUAAAAUACCAGUUAUUUAUUUGCUACUCUAUUCUUAAAAUUUAAUAUCUCAUUUCAUCAAUUAAAGUUUCAACUUCCACAAGUUUCAGACUAAAUAUGCAUAACUCCUCUACAACAUCCUCUGCAACAGCAUAACGCGCGGGCAACUAUUCCUAGUAUAGUACCAGAGCUUCUGCUCUGCGUUCACUGUUCAUAGAAUUAGUAACAGGUGAAUUCCUUUUCUGCCCUCGGUGUAAACGUCGUCUUCUGCGUCCGCCGAUCUUCUUCUCAACAAUUUCUCUCACAAAUCUCAAUCAAAUUUCAUCUUUCUCCGGCUCAGGCCUAAUUCUUUUCCCAGCAUAAGCAAAAUCCUUAACUCUUUCUGUCUUCCGGAAGCUAUGGAAAUCAGCAGCAGUAAAAGGCUGGUGUUGCUUCUGAUCGGUGGUGUACUUAUCAGCUGGGUUACCUCUACAGAAGCUGCAUAGGCUCUAUUAUCUCACUGCCCUUCUGAGUUUGAAAGACUCAGAUUGUAAAUUUUCCUUAAUUCAAGAAUUGGCCUAUGUAUAGUUUUUCAAUUCCGAGUUCAUCAUGUCAUCCCAACCUGCUGCUUCAUUCUUUCUGGUAAUUAAGCUCAGAUGACUAUAUCUUCAUGCAUGUGGUAUUUAAGGCCGUACUUACCUUCUGGUCGGUCCGUUAAUAAUCUGAGGAAAUAGAGCACCUUGUAAUGAGGUGAUUUGGAAGGGUCAAAAGCCAAAGCCUGACCGAGGAAGAUACAUGGUUGACCAGAAGCAGCAGGAGCUGGAGAAAUAAGCUAGUGUGGAAAAACUGCAACAGUAUGGGGGUUUACGUACGUGUUUCUUCGAGGGGACAACGUACAUAAGAAGAAGCCAUUACGUACAGGACUGGAUGAUCAUGACGUCGUGUAGGUUUUGAACCAAGUUAUGAGGACUGCAGUUGGGUGAACCACACGCUACAAAGUUGGAUAGAUUUUGGUUUCCAUGGUACUUCGACGGUCAUUAUCAAGAUCACGAGGGAUGAAAGAAAAGGCAAUGGAUUUACAAGGGAAGACAGCGGAGAUGGAGGAAGAAUUUGGGGUUGUUGAUAAGAGAGAGCCAAUGCUUGGAGAUGCAUUUGAAUCGGACCAGAGGUCGAGCUGGCAAGCUCACAACAAUUUCAGUCAGGAGGGUCUUCUAUGCUGGCAAUGGUGCAGAGUCCCUGCACCAAAUUAUCUAUUGUCUUCGAUCUCUGUAAAACUUUUGUUCGAUUGCUAAUCCUAAUGAACAAAGAAAGACAUGCUUAAGUACGUCAAAUACGUAUAAACAAACGACCAUCAAAAUAAAAUAGUGCUAACAAGAUUUAGCAUAUGUAAAUAUGCACAGGUUACGCCUGUACAUGCGGAUUUGAUUGUUUACAACUUAUUGUCUUACUCAAUGUUUCUUGA